UACAGAGGGUGCAAGCGUUAAUCGGAAUUACUGGGCGUAAAGCGUGCGCAGGCGGUUUGCUAAGACAGGUGUGAAAUCCCCGGGCUUAACCUGGGAACUGCGCUUGUAACUGGCAAGCUAGAGUGUGGCAGAGGGGGGUGGAAUUCCACGUGUAGCAGUGAAAUGCGUAGAGAUGUGGAGGAACACCGAUGGCGAAGGCGACCAUCUGGACCGGAACUGACGCUGAGGCGCGAAAGCCAGGGGAGCGAAUGGG
rnacentral:rRNA from 1 species